ACCUGAAAAUAGAACUACCCUAUAAUCCAGCAACUACGCCAUCAGGUAUUUGCCUAACGGAUACAAAAAUACAGAGUUGCACCCCGGUGUUUACAGCAGCGUGAACAAAAGCCAAACUACGCACCGGGCCACCAUGUCCAUCAACUGAUGAAGGGAUAAAGAAGAUGCGGGAUGUAUACAUACACAGACUAUACAGGGGAAUAUCACUCGGCCAUUGAAAAGAAUGAAAUCUUGCCCUCUGCAAUGACGGAGCUAGAGUAUACGAUGUGAAGCAAAGUGACAUGGUAUCUAGAAUUUAAAGUACUCCAGCACAACCCCAAGCAGUCAGUGAGGAGGAACGGGCAAGACAAGAGUGACAGCAUCGACUCUUCUCCCUGCCCAGCAUGCCAUUCUGUGACCUUCUGGAACACAGAGACCACGUCUGUCACACUUGGAUCCCUGGAAUCUAGACACCAGAAAACAAGCUAAGAUGGUCAUCAAGAUGAUGGGAGAAUACAGAUUCCUUUGCCAAAGACACCCUGCCACGUUUCUUUAUCCCAUCAUCUCCUUCAAUCCUUGCCAUCAUGCGUGAAAAUGCUCUAGAUUAUCACCCUUUUAUAGACUUUUAAAAAUUGAGGCUCACAGAGGUAAAGUGACUUUACCCAAGGUCACAUGGCUAGUGCACUAAGCCGGUGCUUAGUACAAAGAUUUGAGCCAAGGUCUGACUCAAAAGCCAUUCUGCUCAGCACCUUGGGGGCAAGUGAAUAUACCACUGACCCCGGAAACAACCUCACCGUUGUAUGUAACAAAAGUGACCUUUUCCAACGCAGGAGGCCUACACGCAAGGCACUGAGCACAGACCACAAUCUGCCCUCCGAAAUAUCAACUCUUCCCUUCCACAGUCUGUCUGGGGUGACGAGGUACCCUACUAAAAACAAGUAUUUUUCACCAUCCCUAACAGAAAUAGUUCAGGCCACUUAAAUAUAAGAAACUUUUCUGAGUGGUGGGUGACCUCCUUAAAACAAGUCAGAACGGUUUUGUUUUUUUCCCCCUUCCCCUGCUUCAUCCUUCCUGCUGCACAGAAUGCAGAUAUAACGGCUAGGGAUCCAGCAGCCUUCUUAGACCAUGACAGGACCUUAGAAAGGUAAGCCAAACUCAGCAAAGCAAUAUAAAGGAAACUGAUACCCACUUGCUCUUUCAAGAAAUUUCUGGGCUCUAUCACGUGCCAGGCUUUGUGCAGGCCCCUAAGAAAGAUCAGUCAACAAAGGAGACCGAGGUCCCUGCCCUCACGAGGCUUGCAACUUAAGGGGAAGAAAGGAGCCAGAGUGCACAUCGUAACAGAGCUAGGGGGAAUAAAAACCAAGUAAGGGGGACUGAGAAGACAAGGAAGGAGAGGGAUCCCACUGGGAAAUUUGACAGACAAAUGUUUUUAGUCCAUGAAGAGAAAAACACGAUCCAAAAAGACGCCCUUAACUUAGCGCUUGGUGAAGCCCCCUGGGUUCACCGUCGAGUGGAGAAGAGGUGUAGAGGCCACGUGUGGUUUCAGCCCCACGAGGCAGCAGCAACAAGGCGCAACCGGACUGAAAGGCCAACCUCUUUCCACUCUAGGUAAUCAUUUACAACGUGUCUUUUCAGCAUGGUUCUCGAUGGAGUUUUAUUAAAGCUCAGGAGGUGGUGUUCCGGGACCCCCGCCCUCCAACUGCGCGGCCCUGCUCUCCGUGAGGCUGCAUUUGGAGCACUGGAGACAGACCAUGUUUGAAGAAACAGUUCUCCCGCUUGAAAGGUUUCUGCGAGGGUCGUUGGGCCACAGGAGGCGUGUGGCGGGAGGGGAGCGUCUCACGCGUCUGUACAUUGUGUCUGGGACCCAGCACGAACUCAGUUGACUGAGCAAAUAAGCUCCGCCACCUUCCACAAGCCCUCGACUUGACGGUUGUCGCUCUUUAAACCGCAUUCCUGCCGCUGCCAAGAAUAUCUCCCCUCUGCUGAGCUUCCUGUUGUUCCCCUCCCCGGCUCCAAAAUAACAAGGCGCUGCUUGGCAGUGAUGUCACUGUCACUGUCACCGCCUGCAGGGCAUCCACAUGCCAGCUAUAUUUAAGACCCAGGCUUCACGCGCGGGGACAUGGAAAUUGCCACCUCGUGAACCAUACCGGAAAGGCAAGGCUUGAAAAUUUCUCUACGGAUAACCAGGUUACAAACUCUGCCUCUCCCCAGGCAAACAGGCCAGGGUGUUCAACUGAGCACCGGGGUCCAGCUUCUGGGGUCAGCCAGGUCCGACUGGGGCCUUUCAACCACUUCCCUCGAGUAGCACAGACGCUGACACUCGCUCGGGGGAGCCACUCUCUCUUCCAAUUGUUCUCCCUUCCCCGGCUCUGCUUCGGUUUCCCCUCAAAACCCUUCUGUUAUUUUUAUUGACUCCUCCAGACUUC